rnacentral:rRNA from 1 species
UACGAAGGUGGCGAGCGUUGUCCGGAAUUACUGGGUGUAAAGGGCGUGUAGGCGGGUAUGCAAGUUGGAUGUGAAAUACCACGGCUCAACUGUGGUGCUGCAUCUAAAACUGCAUAUCUUGAGUGCUGGAGAGGAAAGCGGAAUUCCCAGUGUAGCGGUGAAAUGCGUAGAUAUUGGGAGGAACACCAGUGGCGAAGGCGGCUUUCUGGACAGUAACUGACGCUGAGGCGCGAAAGCGUGGGGAGCAAACAGG